UCUUUUUUCUCAGAAUUUUGAAAAAAAAAUCGGAUUAACGCUGGGUAGACACGUACGUGAAUUUGUUGUUGAUUUUCACUUCCAGCGACGCCGCCUCCUCCUCUUCCGAUUUCCCACCACAGUGGUGAUCGGCCCGCCCCUAUGCCCGUGGCCAUGAAAUCCUAGCCCCGUCCUGGGUUUGGUUGCCGGCACAGCUCCGCUGCGGCUGCUCCGCCCCUAUUCUUUUGUGUCUACUUGUGGAGCAGUGCACUGUCGGUUGCUGGAUAUGAUUACCUUGGAGUGGAGCAGAGUAAAAAGUCAUUAAGAGGAUUCUGAUGCGUUCAUGUUCAUUUUAGAGCACGGUGGCUUAGAUGACCGCGAUGCUUACUUUGUUAGUGUUUUGCAGGUGAACUUUGAUGUGAAGGAACACAACAUGAUGCUCAACUACAAGAUUCUCCAGGAAGUGUACACCAAGCUGUACCAAGCAAGGUACCGGCUCUCGGCCUUGCUAUUUUUAACAUAUGCUUAUGAUGUUCCUGCUUCUGUAGAUGAUUUAGAGUCUAUCUGAGUAUACGAGAAACAGGAUAAGAAAAUAAAAAGAUGCGGGAGAUAGACCCAUUCACAAAUCUGUCUGAUAGAAGACGCAAUGAACUGCAGGUGUAAAUAGCGACGAGGAGAUAGGGACUGUGCCUUAGAUGGACCUACAGGCAUGAGUAUCUUCCACUUCUAGCAGUGAUGGGCUAGAGAGCGUCACCUUGGUACUGCACGGCAGCACCCUGUCGUUGACACUCCAGGGAAGACAAGUAGCGCAAGCAUCUCAACAGGUCUGAGAUUCAGCGUGUGAAAUUCAGGUAUGUUUAUGACUCAUAUUUGUAGGUUCAUUAUGCUCUAUUUUGGUAUGAAUUUUGGAAUGCACAACUCAGAUUGCGCACAUGAUUCCUCUGGAGUCUGGGAAAUGGAGGUUCUUGGACUAAAACAAACUUUCAAACUAAAUUAAUUUUUUAUUUGGCCAAGCGUCAAUUCCAGUUUUCCAACAAAAAAUGCUUAUGUAAGACAAUCUUCUGACAGCUGGCAUCUUUACUUAGCUAUGCCUACGGGUUCUCAUAUAUUCUAUUCUCUUCUAAAUAAAAUGGCCUAGGGCUUCUCCUUGAUUUAAGUACUACAGUUGAAUUACUACAUCUUUCAUUCUUCAUAACGUUUGGGGAUGAGGCUGGGUCCUCUAGCGUGAAGAGGAGCCACAAGAGUUGCCUUACAUAGCCAAUGAUGAUGUUGACCCUGAGGAUCUCGAGAAGCGCGGUAACCUGUGAGCUGGAGGAGUGCUGACCAAAACCCAAAGAAGAAGAAUGUAGAACAAUUUUUACCAUAUCAGAUUGCUACCCAGGUUCGGGAGAAUGAUGCAGAAGCAGCUUCAGUAAGCUGAAGAUGUGUCUGGCCCUAAAUAUACUGUUUUUGUGGGGAAAACAGAAUAUGUUCAUGAAGUGACAGGUAGAUACACAUAUGAGCAUAUGAGUGUUUGCCUGUUAGAAGUACAGACUAUAAAAGAUACGUAUUUCAGUAGUUCAGUUUACCUAAGUUAAUUGCUACAACAGCUAUUGAAAGGCAUUCUUCAGGUGUGGUAUUGCAUCUUUGGCUAUCGCCUAUUUUUCAUCUCAGACACACCUAUAUUUAUGUGGGAGCUAAGUUUUUAAAAUGAUAUUGUAUUUUUGCUGCACCUUACUAAAGAUUAUCAAUUUACUCCUGUCACCAGAAAUGUAAUGUGCAAUAUUAGCUUAUCUGAAACCACUAAGCAUGGACACUUUAGUCAUGCUGUAAUAUUAACUACCAUCAUUGCUGCUAAUUUCUAUGGAUAUGCCAAUAUACAAAAUGCUAAUCAGGUGCACCAUUUCAGAAUAAAAAUUACACACUGUUCGCAUUUGAGUAAUUGGCAUCUGCUUAAAUAUAGUUAUAAAAACUAUUGAAGCCCUAGGCGUGCCGUGCCAAUUUUGGCUACUGGAACUUCUCAUUUCCAAUAAUAAUAGCUAUUUCACAUAAAACUUUAUCAUGAUAUUUGCCUCAUAUCAAUUCACUGCUUACUUUUGAUUGCGUUUUACUCUAUAAUCUGCAUUCAUAGUUAGAUCAAAAUAUACAUUAUCAUCUCUUCUGAGAUUUAUCUCCCUUUCCCAAAUAUUAAUAUCUUCAGCUGAUCAGUAGGAAUUGUCUCUAUUGUUAUUUAAUACUAUUUGAUGAAAUUAUCAUAUAUGCUAAAAUAUUUCUUAUGAACAUAAGGUUUGCACUAUUGGUCAUAUUUGGAAACAAAGCAGUUGGCCCAUCUAAUGUUAUUCGAAGCACCAUUGAUGUGUUACCACUUUGUCAACACUUAGUCAAUGUGAAGAAAAAUGUCAUGUUCUGUAGCUUUUUUGGGGGAGUGCUGUUUUUUUUACAUUCCCCAUAGAUACAGAUGUAGUUCUUAAUUGUCUGAUACUGAAAAUCUGAAACUUCUUCGCUUAGUGCGUAUUUUUUCUCUUACAGUUGAAAUAACAUUAUAAGAGAGUUGCUCUCAGCAGCUCACAAAUAAGACAGGUUACAUUCCCUUCAUGAAUCUUCACGAAAUAAUUGCCAGGGAAUAUUAUAUUCUUUUAUUGUUGUUAUAUCACAUAAAACUUAACAUUGUACCUCCACUUAUGUACUGUUUUGCACCACUUAUAGGUUUGGUCGUUCCUCGCUCCCAACUUGGUUGUGUAAUCUUGGUUAGGGUGAUAUAGAGGUCAGCUGUAGGUCUUUUUGGCUUUGUCGCGGAGGCCAAAUAAGAAUUCAAGAAGAGGACACUGAUUCCCCCUUGGAUGAUGAAGCAUGCUCGGCUCUUUCUUCACCAAAGGCCAACAACUCAUCAUCUUUUCCUGCAACAAUGAGGACACUAAUGCAAAGCACUAAUGGAUGGGAUACCAUGGAACAUCAGCACUACCAGUCUUACCAUCCUACUUUGCUACUUCCUCCCAAGCUUUGAUAACCAAGAACAUGUCAUACUUCUGUUCAAGUAGAAACUCCUGUCUUUUCCAUGUAUCCUAUAUGUUAAAUGAUCCCAACAACUAUGUUGUCAGAUCUAAUCAGUUCAAAGAAGUGUUGUCAGUCUAAUUCUAAUUA